rnacentral:lncRNA from 1 species
AUGUGAGCAAAGGUCACAACUUUUUAAUAGUAAAUGUGAAACCUUUUCUAAGUUUCUUUUUCCAUAUCCUAUCAUGGAAAUAUUAAGAUAUGGAAGACAAAGUUUAACCAGAGUUGAAAAAGCAAGAUAAUUCCAGGGGAAAGGUCCAGACCUCCAGUCACAGAGCCCUGCUGGAAGAAGAGGAAGUCUCCGAGGAACCAGAGGACUCUAGCCCAAGGGAGCCCCCCGGGAAGGAUACAGCCACACAGGUUUGUGAACCUUUGUUGAAAGGUGUAUAAUAACUAAAAGUGUUGAUGCCUUUUUGGUCAAAAAACAAUUUUUUUUUUUCAGAAAAUAAAAGAGAGCCUGUGAGAGACUAGCUCACCCACGCGAUUUUCAUGAAGAAUGGUUAUUUUUCUAAAUUACAAGGUGCAGAGUGGAGAAUUGAGGACAGCCAUUCCUCCUGGGUGACAGCACAGAAUUCGAAGUCAAGCCUACCACCACUGACUUCUUUGAUUUUAAUGAAUGUAUUUAUGUUCUGCUUUCCUCCACCCCCAGAGACAAUUUGAGGUGAUGCCUGAUUGCAAGUCACAGAAGGCAAGAAAUAAAAGGUUUCUUACCUUCACAAAUUUGCACAUGCUUUCCAACGGACUCCCCCUGGGUCUGCAGAGCAACCACAAGGGCCCAGAUGCUCUGGGUGUUUUAUUCCUUUUUGAGCCUUGAUAAUUGUUUGAAAGCUUCAUGUCAAGUCGCAGACUGAUGUGAUAAAAUAACUUUCCCAUUUGGAGAAUAAAAGUAUUCUUAGUAGCUUUUUUCAGCUCUGAUUAAAAGAUAGAUGUAAAAUAUGCAAAGAAUGAUGUCUAAAGACUGAGGAUAAAAGUUAAAUGAAAAGCAGUAGUUUAAAGAGUUUCAGGGCUCAGGGUCCAAUCUUCCAGCUCUAGUUUUUCUAUGGAAAUGUGAACAGCAUAUGCUUCGAUUGGGCCCCUUUUCAGCCAUUUACAUAUUGGGGAAAUGUAUAUUUGGCAACAGAUCCUAUUUUUAGGCGUCCUUGAAACUUGCCCUUUGAAAAUGUUUUCACUUCUGGCACAUAUGUGUGUUUUAAGCAGAAUGAAAACAAAGCAAAAAAAGAAAACUAUGUACAGAAAGGAAUGAUUUUUCCAGCUCUGGGUAGCACAAUAAGAAAGCAAUCAUUCAUUUGUGAGUUUAAAAAUGGAUUCUUGCCUGAAUUUUCCAACUAUUUCCUUCUAAAUGACCAUUUCUCUACAGAACUGAACUAAUGUAAAGAGACAGGUUGUUCCAGUGCCAGAACCAAGCCAGCAAAAAAGGACGGCGGCUGUAUUUUCCUGGGAGGAACUGAACAAAAUAAUACCUACUCUGUCUCCUCGCAGCCCCGGGGGUCCAUUCAGAAGAAGGUGCCUCCAGACCUGAUGCGUGGCUCCGAGCACACCUUCCCAGCCUGCCUCUUGAGCACCAUUAGAUCUCUGUUAGUUGCAGUCAGUAACAGAGAUUCAUCCUUGUGUCGAUCAUGCAGCAAGGGGAAUCUCUGUCACUUCCUGUAAUUAAUGGCCACACCUUGAAGGGAAAUAUGGGAAAAGGGUGCUCUUCAUACACAGUGUGGGUGUUUUCAGAACAGGCUUCACCCUUGCCACUUUUUGACCAGCUAAAAUGCCAGAACUCCAGCAGAGGAGGAAAGAGGGGAAACAAAAUGUUUCCUUGGGGCUGUCUCAAGCGCUCAGACUGUGGUUCAUGAGACUUUUCCUAUCAAAUAGAUGACCUGGAAGACCCCUCUCUGCUUCAAUGUCCUUACCAGUGCCCUUCUCAUAGCUCCACCAUGUCAUCUUCAUGAACCUCUAGAUAGAUUCCAUUAUUGAACAGAAAAUAAGAAAGAGAAGCCUCGUGCUGGUGGAGGGCCUCCCUCUAAUUGCUCAGUGACCCAUCACAGAAUGUACCAUGGUUCUGGUUUUCAAGAUGAAAAAACUGAACAGAGGUUUGGAGAGGCCAGCACUUGCUCUGAAGCACAGAUGGACAGUGUCAGAUGGGGACCACGUCCAGGACCCAUGCCUCCUCUGAGGUAAAAGUAGGGAUCCCUUUUUGAAUUCUCACCUUUUCUCACCUUUGUAACCUCACUUUUAUUCCUCCUUCUCCAUAAAAAUGGCUGGACUUAUGCCAUGUGUCCCUGAAUCUUUACCUUCCUGUCCCCAACAAAGGAGAAAAAUCCAAUCUUAUCUCUGAGAGAUUCAGAGAGCCCUUGGGUACAAAUGGCUCCUCACUGUCUCACUUUCAAUCAGUGUGCCUCAAAGUUCUUCCUAGACUUCGUUUGUGACUUCAUUUAGCCUGUCUAUAAAGAUUCUAAGAUCAGUGGGGUUAUUUUUCCCUUCCAUUCCUGCCCAAGGACAAAGAAAAUGCUGAGGUUCAGAAAGUGUACCCCAAAGCACAGUUGCUGAGCUCGCUGGGUACCUUGCACAGAAGGACUUCCCCCUGCCCUUCUCCUGCCUGUCCUUCCCCUGCCACAGCCCUUUCUCCCUCAGGCAGGCCACAGAAACAUUCCUCUUCCUAAGGUGGGUCAUAGGCUCUAGAACCCCUUUCCCCCGAAGCCAGUUGUAAGACCUAGAAAUCCUGCUGACUUCCCCCUUCUGUCUGGAGCUGGGGAAAGGAGUCUCUGACCUAGAUUGUCUGAGAGCAGAUCAUAACACCCUCGUCCAGAGGGGUCCUGCCUGUAUGCAGGAGGAAGGAAUGUCUCCAGGGGAGCUGAGAAGAAUCUGAACAGGCAGGCCUUGCUGGGUCUCCCCACUUGGGACAUCACCACGCCCUUCCAUCCAGUCACAUUUCAACAUAGCUGCCCAGGCUCCAUUGAACCGAAGCACAAAUAUUGUUUUUCCUGAAUCUUUGGGUCUUCAUUUCUGAAGACUCCCAUGUCACAUAAGACUUCCUUUAAAUAAAUAUGCUAUGCUUUUCUCUUGUUCACCAGUCUUCAGUCAUAGGCAUGACCCCAUGACAAGCACCUCCCCACCCCAUGCAAACACGUGGGUGCUGCUCUUGGGUGCCGGCUCCACAGCCCCACUCAUCUUCCAUCACAUCUUCAAAGACCUCCCUUCCAUAUUCUGUCCUUGGCUUGGCCCUCAAAUAUUUGAGCUCUUUCUCACCAGCUUCCCCUCACCGCCCUCCCCGUGGGUGUCCUGACUGGGAGUGUCCAACCUCACUGCUGGGCAGCUGGGUCUGCUAAUUCCCCCAUGGACACUGAUGCACCCUGACUCCUGCCACUCUUCAGGAGCCACGACCCCCUCUUUCCUUCCUUGGAACAUGGAUGUUCUCCAACCACAGCUGUUUCAAAACCUCAGCUCCCUCUCCUUUCUCCCACCUCCUCAAGGAUGGUUCUUCAGUCACUUCCCAGCGACAGCUUCUGCCCUACCCAGUCUAACAAACUGAGCAGUGCUGCUCGAUGUUCAUAGUGCACUGUGCCCAAUCUGGGGGUCUCUCCCCACCCAACCUGCUGCUUCAUGUUGGGCUGCCAUGAUGUUGAUUUGGGGGGGCCCAGCUCCUCUAUGACUUUAUGCUGAUCCAGAGUAUUUGGCUAUGUGCAGCUUCUCCUCAUUUCUGUCAUGCCCCAGCUCCUGAGCUGAGCUGUUAGUGCUGUGGCCCUGGAUGCAUAAUAAAUUAUUACACUACAAUGAAAAUAUGCCACGAAUAAUUGAUAAAUUACUAUACUACAAAUGAGCACUUAAUUUCUGUAGAUAUGUAUAAGUCAUAAUCACUCCUUCAAAGCCAUGAAAAUGCCUUCCCUACAAAACGUGUCAUUAUUCAACUGCAAACGCUGCAUUUACCCAAAGUUCAGCCCAGCAUGGCAAGCUUUGCCAGCUCAAUUUAAUUCCUACAUCUACCACAGCAUGUUGGCUUGACGUAUUCCCAAGUAUUUAAGUGAGUGAAUUUUCCCUUCCUCCCACCCAAACCCCUCUCUCUUACAUUAUACCACUGAUUUAGCCUUAAGAAAAAAAUUAAAGCAUAUUCCUAAGCCUCAAAUGGAAAAUGUCCUCAUGUCUUCCGUUGAUGGAAUCUACUAGAGCUGUGUCAGCGUCCAGAUGCACAUUGAUUUAGAGAGCAAACUAGGAGUGCUGAGAACUGGAGCACUGCUUGCCGUGUCUAGCCCAGACCUCUCCACAAGCUCCAGGCUUAGUCACCGGCCAGAUGUCUACCAGGACAUCUCGAGGCACUCAAAAUGUCAGUUCUUGAGUCCAACUUUUUUGCUUCUUCUCUUCAGGUGAAACCAGGAAGUCUUGGCAGUUAGUUUGGAUUUCUCCCAUGCUAUUAUCCCUCCAUGCCAUCCACUUCAUAUCCAAAUCUGUUGAAUGGAUUACCUAAAAUCACCUAAGCCUGUCCUCUGCUGCCUGUGCCCUUCUCUCUAGAGUCUCCAUCAUGUCCUUCUUCAAUGCUGAACUAGAAGUGGCAUCACAGGACAUUACCUGCCUUUUACCCAUACCUUGGGCUUGCAUAAAACCCUUCACUACCUCUCUGUUGCCUUCACCAUAAACUUGUGAAGAGGCCUGAGAGGGACAGAUGGAUUUGGAGGCAGCCAGAGCCUCAAUUCACAGUGAUCCUUUUUUGUUUGUUUGUUUGUUUGUUAAUAUCAACAUGUACACAAAAGACUGGUGCAGUUUUCUGGUAGAUUCUAUAAAUGGAAGUAUUCAGAUAACAGCAGGGGCUGAUUCAUGCUUCUUAGAGUGACUUGCAAGAUUUUCCAAGGUCUGGCUGCACUCAAACCCACCAGUCUUUGCCCCUGGCUCUUUGCCAACAUCCUCACAGCCCCACACAAACCCUUGCCCCUUAUUCAUCAGAGGAAAGUCCAUUACAAGCUUGCUGGGAUGUUAAAGCAGAGGGGAUGGCUUUCAGACUCCGCUGCCUCCUGCCGAACCCUGUCCUAGCUCAGGCUGCCAUAACUAAACACCAGAGACUGAGCAGCCAGAACAACAGACGGUGAUUUUCCCAGAGCUGUGGAGGCUAGAAGUCCAAGAUCAGGUCAAGUAGGAUCUGCUUCCUGGUGAGGGCUCUUGGCCUGGCUUGUGGAAGGUCACCCUGUGGCUGUGUGCUUGCUUGGCCUUUCCUUUGUGCAUGCCCGGGGACAGAAUCUCCCUCUCUUCCUCUUGCUAAGAGGCCACUAGGCCACCAAUUCUAUCUGAUUAGGACACCAUCCUUAUAACCUCAUUAAACCUCAUUACUUCCUAAAAGCCUCGUCUGAAAUCAGUCACAUGGGGGGGUGAGGUUUUCCACAUAUGAAUGUUGGAGAAGCACAGUUUAGUCCAUAGCCACCCACACCCCAAAACUCUCUCAUAACAAAAUCCACUAUCUGCACACGGCAGAAUAACUCUCACUGACUUGAAUGCUCUACAAAUCAGCUUGCUUUUAGGAAGAAUGACUUGGUACAACAUAG